rnacentral:tRNA from 1 species
GCAACUGUGGCGGAGUGGUCUAACGCGUUAGUUUUAAGCACUAAUAACCGGAAGGUUGCGCAAGUUCGAACCUUGCCAGUUGCA